rnacentral:rRNA from 1 species
UACGUAGGUGGCAAGCGUUGUCCGGAAUUACUGGGUGUAAAGGGCGUGUAGGCGGGGAUGCAAGUCAGAUGUGAAAUUCCGAGGCUUAACCUCGGGGCUGCAUCUGAAACUGUGUCUCUUGAGUGCUGGAGAGGGAAGCGGAAUUCCUAGUGUAGCGGUGAAAUGCGUAGAUAUUAGGAGGGACACCAGUGGCGAAGGCGGCUUUCUGGACAGUAACUGACGCUGAGUCACGAAGGCGUGGGUAGCAAAC